rnacentral:rRNA from 1 species
CCUACGGGAGGCAGCAGUGGGGAAUAUUGCACAAUGGGGGAAAGCCUGAUGCAGCGACGCCGCGUGAGUGAAGAAGGAAUUCGGUAUGUAAAGCUCUAUCAGCAGGGAAGAAAAUGACGGUACCUGAGUAAGAAGCCCCGGCUAACGACGUGCCAGCAGCCGCGGUAAUACGUAGGGGGCAAGCGUGAUCAGGAAUUGCUGGGGGUAAAGGGAGCGGAGGCGGGCGGGCAAGUCUUGAGUGAAAGGCGGGGGCUCAACCCCCGGACUGCUCUGGAAACUGUAAGGCUGGAGUGCAGGAGAGGUAAGUGGAAUUCCUAGUGUAGCGGUGAAAUGCGUAGAUAUUAGGAGGAACACCAGUGGCGAAGGCGGCUUACUGGACUGUAACUGACGUUGAGGCUCGAAAGCGUGGGGAGCAAACAGGAUUAGAUACCCCAGUAGUC